CCCUUAGAUGUCCUGGGCUGCACGCGCGCUACACUGAUGUGUCCAGUAAGCACCUAACCUCUUCCGAAAGGAACGGGUAACCUUUGCAAAGCACAUCGUGAUGGGGAUAGAUUAUUGCAAUUAUUAGUCUUGAACGAGGAAUUCCUAGUAAGCACAAGUCAUCAGCUUGUGUUGAUUACGUCCCUGCCCUUUGUACACACCGCCCGUCGCUCCUACCGAUUGAAUGUUCCGGUGAGCUCUUCGGACUGCGCGGUCUGCAGUUUCUGCGUUCCGUGCGGAAAGUUGCGCAAACUUUAACAUUUAGAGGAAGGAGAAGUCGUAACA
rnacentral:rRNA from 1 species